rnacentral:lncRNA from 1 species
GGGGGGGGGGGGUGUUUUAACUCAAUAGGUUAACAAAUCCACAAGUAUGGUAUAUUAACAAUGAUACACGCAGAAAAAAUGAAGAAAGGAACUAAUACCAUAAACAAGGCUAAUUAGACUUAGAUGAUGUGGUGACCAGGAGCAGCAGGGUACUGCAUCACCGUUGAUGGGUAAGUCGGAACCGGUGCUGGAGCUCCGGUUACAGCAGCAGUCGGCGGUGCACC